UGGGGAAUUUUGGACAAUGGGCGAAAGCCUGAUCCAGCAAUGCCGCGUGCAGGAUGAAGGCCCUCGGGUUGUAAACUGCUUUUGUACGGAACGAAAAGCCUGGGGCUAAUAUCCCCGGGUCAUGACGGUACCGUAAGAAUAAGCACCGGCUAACUACGUGCCAGCAGCCGCGGUAAUACGUAGGGUGCAAGCGUUAAUCGGAAUUACUGGGCGUAAAGCGUGCGCAGGCGGUUUUGUAAGACAGUGGUGAAAUCCCCGGGCUCAACCUGGGAACUGCCAUUGUGACUGCAAGGCUAGAGUGCGGCAGAGGGGGAUGGAAUUCCGCGUGUAGCAGUGAAAUGCGUAGAUAUGCGGAGGAACACCGAUGGAGAAGGCAAUCCCCUGGGCCUGCACUGACGCUCAUGCACGAAAGCGUGGGGAGCAAACAG
rnacentral:rRNA from 1 species